rnacentral:rRNA from 1 species
GUGGGGAAUAUUGGGCAAUGGGCGAAAGCCUGACCCAGCAACGCCGCGUGAAGGAAGAAGGUCUUCGGAUCGUAAACUUCUAUCCUUGGUGAAGAUAAUGACGGUAGCCGAGAAGGAAGCCCCGGCUAACUACGUGCCAGCAGCCGCGGUAAUACGUAGGGGGCAAGCGUUGUCCGGAAUGAUUGGGCGUAAAGGGCGCGUAGGCGGCCUGGUAAGUCUGGAGUGAAAGUCCUGCUUUUAAGGUGGGAAUUGCUUUGGAUACUGUCGGGCUUGAGUGCAGGAGAGGUAAGUGGAAUUCCUAGUGUAGCGGUGAAAUGCGUAGAUAUUAGGAGGAACACCGGUGGCGAAGGCGGCUUGCUGGACAGAUACUGACGCUGAGGUGCGAAAGCGUGGGGAGCGAACAGGAUUAGAUACCCGUGUAGUCC